GUGCAGCCGUCGAUUCUUGCAAGGAAGGAGGAGAAAACGGAGAUGCCGGCGGCGGCGGUGGGAGUUGCGUGCUGCCGUGUUGUUGGGUGGCUUCACAUGUCGACGGAGAACAUUUGGGUCGCAAUUUCCCUGCAGAUACGUUGAAAUUUCAGCUCAUCUUCACUAGGGAAACAAGCUUAGCCCGAACAAUUCGCUCGUGUACAAAGAACAAAAUAAAGAGAGCCUAAGGAAUCUUGGCAGGGGAAAGCACGCAAGAACAAUGGGAGCAAAUGGGAAAUUCUUGGGCCAAAUUCAACACUCUAAACCCCCAAAACCCAAAACGUGAUAGAACCCAUGAAACGAAUCCUAGUAAGAAACAAGCUCCAACUGGGACGCAACGCACAAACAUGCCCCAGGCAACCCAGCCAAAAAAAGUGCAAUUGCAACCUUCAAACCACCAAAAACCCAGCCAAACAUUGGCUGCAACGAAACCAAGAAGCAGCAUAAUGAAAGGGGAGAUUAGGAAAGCCGCGCACCUUGGCCAGGAGGAGAAGUAGGGUGCCUGAACCCGAAACCUCAUCAAGAAAGCAACGGAGGAAGAAAUCCCACAGGUUGAGAAGAGGGAGUUCGCAGCAGAAUCUAUCUAGCUGCCGCAAGAAUCGCAGGCGAGGACAAGGGAAGGGAAGAGAGAUGCUGCUGGACGAGGAAGAAGCAGAAGCAGAGGAAGCACACACAGGCCUACACUUGACUAUUUAAGUAGCAGGGGAGGGAGGGAGGGAGGGAC
rnacentral:lncRNA from 1 species